GACGAACGCUGGCGGCGUGCUUAACACAUGCAAGUCGAACGGAAAGGCCCCUUUGGGGGUACUCGAGUGGCGAACGGGUGAGUAACACGUGAGUAACCUCCCCUUGACUCCGGGAUACCUUCAGGAAACUGGGGCUAAUACCGGAUAGGAAUCCUUGCUGCAUGGAGGGGGUUGGCAAGCUUCGGCGGUUUUGGAUGGACUCGCGGCUGAGCCGCUUGUUGGUGGGGUAGUGGCUUACCAAGGCUUUGACGGCUAGCCGGCCUUGGAGGGCGACCGGUAACAUUGAGACUGGGACACGGCCACGACUCCGACUGGUGGCAGCAGUAGGGAAUAGUGCACUAUGGGCAGGGGCCAGAUGCAGAAAUGGCGCGGGCGGGAGGACGACGUUGGCGUUGUGGUCGUCAAGCAGCAGGAGCGAGGAAGGUAGUGACGGUACCUGCAGAAGAAGCACCGGCUAACUACGUG
rnacentral:rRNA from 1 species